rnacentral:rRNA from 1 species
AACGAACGCUGGCGGCGCGCCUAAUACAUGCAAGUCGAGCGAGAAGACGUAGCAAUACGUUUGUAAAGCGGCGAACGGGUGAGGAAUACAUGGGUAACCUACCCUCGAGUGGGGAAUAACUAGCCGAAAGGUUAGCUAAUACCGCGUACGCUCCUUGGACUUCGGUUCAGGGAGGAAAGCGAUACCGUGGGUAUCGCGCUCUUGGAUGGGCUCAUGUCCUAUCAGCUUGUUGGUGAGGUAACGGCUCACCAAGGCUUCGACGGGUAGCUGGUCUGAGAGGACGAUCAGCCACACUGGCACUGCGACACGGGCCAGACUCCUACGGGAGGCAGCAGUAAGGAAUAUUGCGCAAUGGGCGAAAGCCUGACGCAGCGACGCCGCGUGGGGGAUGAA